GGCGUCAUAGCUCAGUUGGGAGAGCAGCAGACUGAAGUGUUGUUGUUUGUCUGAUUUUAAUCUGAAGGUCCCGUGUUCAAGCCACGGUGAUGCCA